rnacentral:rRNA from 1 species
AACUCUGACCGAGCAACGCCGCGUGAACGAUGAAGUAUUUCGGUAUGUAAAGUUCUUUUAUUGAAGAAGAAAAAAUAGUGGAAAAACUAUCUUGACGAUAUUCAAUGAAUAAGCCCCGGCAAACUAUGUGCCAGCAGCCGCGGUAAUACAUAGGGGGCGAGCGUUAUCCGGAAUUAUUGGGCGUAAAGGGUGCGUAGGCGGUUUGGUAAGUCUAUAGUUUAAUUUCAGUGCUUAACACUGUUCUGCUAUAGAAACUAUCAGACUAGAGUGAGAUAGAGGCAAGUGGAAUUCCAUGUGUAGCGGUAAAAUGCGUAAAUAUAUGGAGGAACACCAGAGGCGUAGGCGGCUUGCUGGGUCUUUACUGACGCUGAGGCACGAAAGCGUGGGGAGCAAACAGGAUUAGAUACCCUGGUAGUCCACGCCGUAAACGAUGAGUACUAAGUGUCGGGGAAACUCGGUACUGAAGUUAACACAUUAAGUACUCCGCCUGAGUAGUACGUACGCAAGUAUGAAACUUAAAGGAAUUGACGGGACUCCGCACAAGCGGUGGAUCAUGUUGUUUAAUUCGAAGAUACACGAAAAACCUUACCAGGUCUUGACAUACUCUGCAAAGCUAUAGCAAUAUAGUGGAGGUUAUCAGGGAUACAGGUGGUGCAUGGUUGUCGUCAGCUCGUGUCGUGAGAUGUUAGGUUAAGUCCUAAAACGAGCGCAACCCUUGUCACUAGUUGCCAGCAUGUUAUGAUGGGCACUUUAACGAGACUGCCAA